rnacentral:rRNA from 1 species
AUUGAACGCUGGCGGCAGGCCUAACACAUGCAAGUCGAGCGGAUGAAGGGAGCUUGCUCCUGGAUUCAGCGGCGGACGGGUGAGUAAUGCCUAGGAAUCUGCCUGGUAGUGGGGGAUAACGUCCGGAAACGGGCGCUAAUACCGCAUACGUCUUGAGGGAGAAAGUGGGGGAUCUUCGGACCUCACGCUAUCAGAUGAGCCUAGGUCGGAUUAGCUAGUUGGUGGGGUAAAGGCCUACCAAGGCGACGAUCCGUAACUGGUCUGAGAGGAUGAUCAGUCACACUGGAACUGAGACACGGUCAGACUCCUACGGGAGGCAGCAGUGGGGAAUAUUGGACAAUGGGCGAAAGCCUGAUCCAGCCAUGCCGCGUGUGUGAAGAAGGUCUUCGGAUUGUAAAGCACUUUAAGUUGGGAGGAAGGGCAGUAAGUUAAUACCUUGCUGUUUUGACGUUACCAACAGAAUAAGCACCGGCUAACUUCGUG